rnacentral:rRNA from 1 species
CCUACGGGGGGCAGCAGUGGGGAAUUUUGGACAAUGGGCGCAAGCCUGAUCCAGCAAUGCCGCGUGAGUGAAGAAGGCCUUCGGGUUGUAAAGCUCUUUUGUCAGGGAAGAAACGGUGGGGGCUAAUAUCCCUUGCUAAUGACGGUACCUGAAGAAUAAGCACCGGCUAACUACGUGCCAGCAGCCGCGGUAAUACGUAGGGUGCAAGCGUUAAUCGGAAUUACUGGGCGUAAAGCGUGCGCAGGCGGUUUUGUAAGUUUGUCGUGAAAUCCCCGGGCUCAACCUGGGAAUGGCGAUGAAGACUGCAAGGCUAGAAUCUGGCAGAGGGGGGUAGAAUUCCACGUGUAGCAGUGAAAUGCGUAGAGAUGUGGAGGAACACCGAUGGCGAAGGCAGCCCCCUGGGUCAAGAUUGACGCUCAUGCACGAAAGCGUGGGGAGCA